AGGCUCCCCGGAAAGGAAGUGUGGGUAGUGACCUGUGCUCGCACACAGGCUUCUUGGCGGCGGCAGCAGCAGCCUUAGCGUCUCCUGCCCGUCUCUGGGGUCCGCGCUUUCAGCCCUGGCUCGCGCCCGUCUCUGGAGCUCCUUUAAGCAGCGCUUUUAAUCCCCUCUCCUCGCGCACCAGAUAACAAAGAGGACCUAUUGCAUAAUUCUGAGUUUUGGAAAUGAAGAAUUAUGAAGGUAUUUUGCAAAUAAAGAAACUCAAAGAGAUGAUGGAAGAGAACCACACGGCAUUUGAAGUUUCCCAGCAGAUGUCCCUGGGUGCCCUCUCUGUUGCGACUCAUGAGUCUGUCCUCCUAGACUGCUUCUAAUGGAGCCUUGCAAAUAAGUGAUAUCUCACCAGCCCAUCAGUGUGGAAAAAUGGGGGAAAGGGAGUAUCAGCUACCUGUUAUCACCCCAGAGAAGAAAAACCAGUUUCAUGAUCAACAGAGCCCAUGGAACGAACGUAACAUGGGCACCUUGAAAUGACGGAAGAGCUUCAGUGCACAUUAAGCUGUCUCCAACCACUGGUUCCAGGACCCACAGGAAAGGUGACUAUACGCAGAUGGGAAAAGCACUACAGUUGAUCUGGCUUGGACAUGACUCCUACCCUGUGGGUAGACACUAGAAAUAGGCCUACAGAGAACCCAUGGCUUAACAGGAAAAGAAAUUAUAGCUAACAAGCACUUUAAAAUUCAUGAUCUAUCUUACCUUUCAACAAGCCAUUGUGGUUGACAGCAAAAGUUAACAAAAACAACCUAUAUAAAAAAAUAAAUUAAUUAAAAAAAAGACACCGUUGACACUCUAAGUAAAAUCAGGCCUCUCCAUCAAAAGAGAGCUGCUCUAUCCUGUGGUAUUUCUGACAAAAGAUUUCAGCUGGGUAAUGUACUAA